UACGUAGGGCGCAAGCGUUGUCCGGAAUUAUUGGGCGUAAAGAGCUCGUAGGCGGUGUGUCGCGUCGGCCGUGAAAACCUGCAGCUUAACUGUGGGCUUGCGGUCGAUACGGGCAUCACUGGAGUUCGGCAGGGGAGACUGGAAUUCCUGGUGUAGCGGUGGAAUGCGCAGAUAUCAGGAGGAACACCGGUGGCGAAGGCGGGUCUCUGGGCCAUUACUGACGCUGAGGAGCGAAAGCGUGGGGAGCGAACAGG
rnacentral:rRNA from 1 species